rnacentral:rRNA from 1 species
UGCCAGCCGCCGCGGUAAUACGGAGGGUGCGAGCGUUGUUCGGAUUUACUGGGCGUAAAGGGUGCGUAGGCGGAUAUUAAGGUCAGGUGUGAAAUCCCGAGGCUCAACCUCGGAACUGCAUCUGAAACCGAAUGUCUAGAGUGUGACAGAGGAUAAUGGAAUUUCUAGUGUAGCAGUGAAAUGCGUAGAUAUUAGAAGGAACACCAGAGGCGAAGGCGAUUAUCUGGGUCAUAACUGACGCUGAGGCACGAAAGUGUGGGUAGCAAACAGGAUUAGAUA